rnacentral:lncRNA from 1 species
AGAAAUGAAAUAGUAACAAGUAUGUGUUAUGAAAAUAUUUCUUUGUGUUUACACAUGAAUUUUACAAGAGCUAGUCCUCUUGUGAUUGUCAAUAUCAUUUUUUACUUUUUAAAUGUUUUAAGAAUACUUGUCACAUGAUAGCAACAUGUUAUGCAUGACUUGGAUGCACAAUAUCUCAUCUUUUUUUCUGAAUAUCCUUUACACAUUAUACCCA